CAGCUUGGGUUCUCUGAUUUGGUGUGCCAUAUCCAGAUCAGAAGCCUUGGAGUAUCAGGAGACGAGCCAUCUCUCUUGUGUCCCACAUCAAUCCACAAACCUUGAUACAGAUCGAGUCUUUGAUUCUCUGUUUGCAAGGAUUAUCUCUGUGAUCCAUCCUAGACACUAAGCAGGGUGAUCCUGUGUCUGUGGAGCAGAAAAAAACAUCUUUAUAGCAUCCCAUAGCUCUAAGGAAAAGACCAUAUCCAUCACCUUUCAUCCACCCACGCCCCCUUCAAGUGAUCCAGGGAGAGACAGCCAUUCCAGGGCUGCACCAAGAAAUGGUAUGAUAAAAACUAUUUGCAGAGAGAAUGAAGGAGAGUCAGGAGGUAACACGUCCUUUAUCAGGUUCAUAACUGACCAGAACAAGCUGAGAAGAGAUAAACAGGAACUGGUGGUGGUUAAAGAGAAGCCAGAACUGGAGGAUGAGUAUGGGGACCAAACCACACGACCACCUGACCAGAAGGAUGUUAAACUGAGAGUACAUGGUCUCAUGUUCAUGACCAGGACGUGGAUAGGAUCAUCCUGGAGAGAAGCAUUCAACUGCAAACUCAACAAAGUGGAGAAAUCAUCUGCCUUAGAAGCCACAUGCAGUGAGGAAAGUUCCAAGAUGUUGCUGAGACAUGAAGAAGGACUGCAGAGCUUUGUGUUUCAUCCUGGAGAGACUAGAGAGGUGAUGAUAUAUCUCAUGGCCAGGUCAGGAACUUUGGAGUUAAAUUAUCAAGGUUCUGUCAUCCUACAGAGCUUGGAUUUGAGGACAAAUCCUUUUAAAGGAGGAGGGGAUGGUGUGAUCCUGAUCAGGAUUGGAAUCAAUGGAUUGAAGCCAAUGUAUGGGUCAGCUAUACCACUGAUCAUGGUGCAGUUUAAUGGACAGUAUCAUACUCUUAUUGGCAUGAUCUAUGAGGUUCUGGAUAGAGAGAAGAGAAGAACUGUUGGUACUGCCUUGAAACAGCUUGAACAAAGAGGAUUCAACCAACUGAGCUUAACAGGAGCUAUGGAGACCAUUCACCUCAUCCAAAUUUGUAUGGAGAACAAGGAAAACAUGUCAGGAAGUUUCUGGAUUGGGUUAUAUUUGGAUCUAGGCGAAAUAGGGCUUUUUCGGUCCAAAAAGAGAGUUGCAGCCAGAAUCUUGAUCCACUUGCUUUCUAGCUGGCCUAACAGGACGUGGAGGAUCUAAAGUUCAUUAGGAGACACUCCAAAUCAAGUUCAAGUCGUGGCCCAUCAUAAACCAAAGAAGAACCAGCUUGUUGGUUUGAUUUAAUUGCAAUGUAAUGGGUUUAGUUUAUUGGGCUUUCAUUUAAUUUAAACCAAAGACAAUUAGGAAUUUGAGUAAACCAGAUUUGGGUAGAUUAGUAUUUAAAAUAAACCAAUUUCGAAUUGGAUUAGGAGAUUAAACCAUCUUGGUUUAAAUUUAGGGUUUUCAGUUUUAUUCUUUUAACAUAUGUAGCCACGUUUUGGGAUGGAGAUCAUCAAUCGACAUUUUUUUCAACUUCUUUGUUUUGAGUUUUCUCUCAAUUCUGCUGGUGUGUAAUAUCCAGCUUGGGUUCUCUGAUUUGGUGUGCCAUAUCCAGAUCAGAAGCCUUGGAGUAUCAGGAGACGAGCCAUCUCUCUUGUGUCCCACAUCAAUCCACAAACCUUGAUACAGAUCGAGUCUUUGAUUCUCUGUGUGCAAGGAUUAUCUCUGUGAUCCAUCCUAGACACUAAGCAGGGUGAUCCUGUGUCUGUGGAGCAGAAAAAAACAUCUUUAUAGCAUCCCAUAGCUCUAAGGAAAAGACCAUAUCCAUCACCUUUCAUCCACCCACGCCCCCUUCAAGUGAUCCAGGGAGAGACAGCCAUUCCAGGGCUGCAC
rnacentral:lncRNA from 1 species